UUGACCGUGCAAAGGUAGCGCAAUCACUUGUCUUUUAAAUAGAGACCUGUAUGAAUGGCCAAACGAGGGCUUAACUGUCUCCCUUUUCCAGUCAGUGAAAUUGAUCUGCCCGUGCAGAAGCGGACAUAUUAUUACAAGACGAGAAGACCCUUUGGAGCUUAAGGUACAAAACUCAACCACGUCAAGCAACUCAACAAAAAGCAAAAACUUUGCGGAAAAUGAGAUUUUACCUUCGGUUGGGGCGACCACGGAGGAAAAUAAAGCCUCCAAGUGGACUGGGAUAUACCUCCUAAAACUAAGAGAAACAUCUCUAAGCCACAGAACAUCUGACCAAACAUGAUCCGGCCACCUAUUGACCGAUCAACGAACCAAGUUACCCUAGGGAUAACAGCGCAAUCCUCUCCCAGAGUCCAUAUCGACGAGAGGGUUUACGACCUCGAUGUUGGAUCAGGACAUCCUAAUGGUGCAGUUC
rnacentral:rRNA from 1 species